UGAGCUCUGGGAGUCAGGACUGUCCAGUAUAGCAGGGAGGUCUCCAGAGCUAGCUGGUGGAAGGAAAAUAGGGGUAUGAGGUGCUAGCAUGAGGAAAUCCUCAAAAUCUACAGGUGGAGCAGCUGGGGACAUGGACAAGGGAGCAUGACCAAAGAUCCAGCGAGCAAAGGCGCACAAGAAAGCAUGCAGGGAUUUUGGGAAGAGGAGGCUAUGAUCUUCCCACCUUUCACCAUGCAAAGUCACAGAAGUGCUUUGUAG
rnacentral:lncRNA from 1 species